GUGUGCAUUUGCAGGAACUUGUGAGUCUCCUAUUGAAAAUGGACAGGAGACUGACAAGUUCCCGGGAACACCCACAA
rnacentral:pre_miRNA from 14 species